rnacentral:tRNA from 1 species
GAGGGCAGACCUCAGUGGUAGAGCGCAUGCUUAGCAUGCACGGGGUCCUGGGUUCAAUCCCCAGUGCCUUCA